rnacentral:rRNA from 1 species
AAAGAACCUACCCUUAUAUGGGGGAUAGCUCAUCGAAAGGUGAAUUAAUACCGCAUGUGAUUUUUCUCUGCAUGGAGAAGGGAUUAAAGCUGGGGACCUUCGGGCCUGGCGUAUAAGGAGGGCUUUGCGGCCUAUCAGCUUGUUGGUGAGGUAACGGCUCACCAAGGCUAAGACGGGUAGCUGGUCUGAGAGGAUGAUCAGCCACACUGGAACUUAGACACGGUCCAG